CAGCCCCAUCAGCUAGCCCCACCCCAGAAGCAACCACCAACAUUUAUACCCACAAAUGUACUUUUUACCCAAAACAAAACAUUUUUUACCCGAGUAUAGGAGAUAGAAAAGGAAAAGAGAGCUAUAGAACAAGUACCGCAAGGGAAAACUGAAAGAGAAGUGAAAAAACCCAGUUAAGGCUAGAAAAGCAGAGCUAAACUCUCGUACCUUUUGCAUCAUGACUUAGCUAGCAUCCCCAAGCAAAAAGAAUUUUAGUUUGAUACCCCGAAACUAAGUGAGCUACUUCAAGACAGCUUUUUGAGCAAACCCGUCUCUGUGGCAAAAGAGUGGGAAGAUCUUCAAGUAGAGGUGAAAGACCUACCGAACCUAGUUAUAGCUGGUUGCCUAUGAAAAGAAUACAAGUUCCGCUUAUAAUCUUCUUUUUUUGUAUAAAGAUACCCCUUAAAGAAAUUAAAAGAAAAUUAUGAUGCAAAUUAAAGGGGGGACAGCCCCUUUAAUUAGAGAAACAACUCUGCCUGUCGGCUAAGGACCACAACAUCAAAGAAAGGA
rnacentral:rRNA from 1 species